UAGAGUUUGAUCCUGGCUCAGGACGAACGCUGGCGGCGUGCUUAACACAUGCAAGUCGAGCGGAAAGGCCCUUCGGGGUACUCGAGCGGCGAACGGGUGAGUAACACGUGAGUAACCUGCCCCUGACUCUGGGAUAAGCCCGGGAAACUGGGUCUAAUACCGGAUACGACACCUCCUGGCAUCUGGUGGGUGUGGAAAGUUUUUCGGUUGGGGAUGGACUCGCGGCCUAUCAGCUUGUUGGUGGGGUAAUGGCCUACCAAGGCGACGACGGGUAGCCGGCCUGAGAGGGCGACCGGCCACACUGGGACUGAGACACGGCCCAGACUCCUACGGGAGGCAGCAGUGGGGAAUAUUGCGCAAUGGGCGAAAGCCUGACGCAGCGACGCCGCGUGGGGGAUGACGGCCUUCGGGUUGUAAACCUCUUUCAGCAGGGACGAAGUUGACGUGUACCUGCAGAAGAAGCGCCGGCUAACUACGUGCCAGCAGCCGCGGUAAUACGUAGGGCGCAAGCGUUGUCCGGAAUUAUUGGGCGUAAAGAGCUCGUAGGUGGCUUGUCACGUCGGGUGUGAAAGCUUGGGGCUUAACUCCAGGUCUGCAUUCGAUACGGGCUGGCUAGAGGUAGGUAGGGGAGAACGGAAUUCCUGGUGUAGCGGUG
rnacentral:rRNA from 1 species